rnacentral:lncRNA from 1 species
AGACAGGAAGCAGGAGAAAGUUAAUGUUUUUUGGACAGGGAUAGUGGGAGGACAAGAUGUAAUAACCAGAGGAGUUAGACUUAAUAAGGCUUGCAAGAUUAGGAUUUUAGUUGUUGUGCCCAGCGAUUGAGUUACCAUUGUUUCUGAAAUAAAUUUGUGUUAUGUUUUCCUUCACGUGCCGGCUCGUCUUGGUUCUAGAGAGAAAGGUAUGGCAAGCGUGGGUUUGCCUGAGAGUUUGAUUGCCUUCAGGAUGAUGGAUGAAGACCCCGAGGACAGGAACCUAGGUAGUCAGCUUAAGGAACUCCCCCGGAGCUCUGGGGGAAGAGCUGAAGCAAGUUGGGCACAGUGGUACCUCACCCUCUUGUGCUUCAGUGUGAAGGUCUAAGGCUAGAAUCACCUGGCAGAAACCCCAUUCUGAGGGAUCAGCUGAAGAGCUUGGCAGAGACGGGGCCAUUUCCUGAUGUAUCUGUCUGCUCACUGGUGUGAUUUCUCCAAGGCCCAGCCAAGAGAUGCUAUUAAAACCCAAACCCU